AGUGAACGCUGGCGGCGUGCUUAACACAUGCAAGUCGAACGGUAACAGAACUAGCUUGCUAGUUGCUGACGAGUGGCGCACGGGUGAGUAAUAUAUAGUUAAUGUGCCUCGAAGACUGGGAUAGCCACUGGAAACGGUGAUUAAUACUGGAUACUCCUUCUAAUCAUAAGAUUAGUCGGGAAACGUUUUUUCGCUUCGAGAUCAGACUAUAUCCCAUCAGUUUGUUGGUGAGGUAAGAGCUCACCAAGGCAAUGACGGGUAGCGGGUUUGAGAGGAUGAUCCGCCACACUGGUACUGAGACACGGACCAGACUCCUNACGGGAGGCAGCAGUGAGGAAUAUUGCACAAUGGGCGAAAGCCUGAUGCAGCAACGCCGCGUGGAGGAUGACGCAUUUCGGUGUGUAAACUCCUUUUAUAUGUCAAGAAAAUGACGGUAGCAUAUGAAUAAGCACCGCUAAC
rnacentral:rRNA from 1 species